rnacentral:lncRNA from 1 species
AGUCGAAGUUGUAACGUUAUCCAGUGAACAUAGUGUUGAUUUGUGAUUUUACAUUUGAUGCAACCAUGCAAACUAUAAAAGAAAAACAGGGGGAGGAAAAACACCUGCUAACGUUAUGGAACGAGAUGUACGUGCUCAUAUUUGCUCAUAUUUUUUAUGAGCUUAAGAUCAUUUCCUAAAGCUGGCGACAGAAAAACAAAUACCAAACGAGGAAGAAAAAGACGUUCCACUGCAAUUCUCACAGACACACCAA